ACACAUCUAACCACUCUUCAGCUGAUAUCCACUUGCUGACAAAUGAAUCUCUCUGGCCCCUGGACUGUGCCCUGAAACACAGCUUAAAACAGCAGAAUGAACAGUAAUCCCAGAGAUCCUGAGAUGAGAAAAGGGUGUUUGACUUAUUCAAAGAAGACCAAGGAAGCCCAAAGACCAGAGAAGAGUGCAGGAAAGGGGCGGCGGUCUGAGAUGCAGUCAGAGCAGUGGCAAGCCCCCAGAGUCUGUGGCAAAGACUUCAGGUUUCAUCCUGAAGAGGAAGACAGGUCUUUGGAGAGUUUUGAUCAAGGAAGUGAGAUGAAAUAUCUUAGGCUUACAAAGAACUACUCUGACAUCUAAAUGGAAAAUGGACUGAUGAAGCAAAAGAAGCCACAAGGAAGCCAGUUCAGAGGCUAUUGAAAUGCUCCAGAGGAACAGCGGUUUAUUGAAAGGAAAGCAAAUGUCCAGAAGCAAAAACAAACAAACAAAAAACAAACAAACAAACAAAAACAGAAAAAACUUCCCCAAAAGUAAAGAAUCACAGCUUUAUUCAGUAGCUCCUCAAUUAAAAUAGUCAUCUUCUUAAUUGUGCCAUCUUCAGAAGCAGCCAUAUAUACUGUAGUUAAGAGGCACAUGGUGAGAAAUUUGGGGUCCAAUCAAGAUGAUAGGAUUCAUCUACAUGGCAGCCCUCAAAGAUUCUGGAAGAGAAAAAUGGUGAAAAGAUACUCAGAGAGUGAGAGCCUUCAGAUUUGGGUGAGUGAUGCCAUUAGAACCAAGAUUUCUUCCAUUCUUCUGCUCUAUCAUUCUCAGCACAACAUGCUUUUCUCAUUAAGGCCGCUGUGGUUCGUCUUCUGCCUGGGAACUGGAUAAAAACAUCAGUGAAUACCCCAAAGAUUUUCAAAAAUGCUUGUUGAUAAAAUGAAGUCAGAAUGUGAGAUGAGCCCUUCCACCUGAGUGAUGUUGGUCUUGGCUGUGUGAUUUGCUUUGGCUGAUGAUAAGUUGAUGGAAGUGAUAGUAAGACAAUGCUGAGCCUCAUCCUCGGAAGUAUCUCUGCCUUCACCUGGCUUUGUGCACCACUGCCCUGGCUUUGAGAAGAACAUGAGCCCAGUAAAUUGUUAGUCCAGGAAGAAUGAGAGGCUGUAGAAGAUGGCAAGUGCUGUGGACUUCAAAGAAAAGAUUUCUGAAGUGUCAUGUUAUGACAAUUGUGAUGCUUCAAACUAUGUUGACUAUUCAUUUACAGCAUAAAGAAGAGUGAGCCACUUUAUCACUGCAGUAAUUAUAUUUUAAAAAUAAAGAAAAUAAAACAAAUGGAGUUUCCCACCCAAUCCAUGGAGACACAGACACGAAGUCUUACUAUAGAUGUGUGGCCAAUCCUUACAUUGCUUUUAUUACAAGCCUGGAAAUGACAAUAAAAUACAUGAACUUGAGAGUAUAUA
rnacentral:lncRNA from 1 species